rnacentral:rRNA from 1 species
ACGGCUCAGUAACACGUGGAUAACCUGCCCUAAGGGUGGAGGAUAACCCCGGGAAACUGGGGAUAAUACUCCAUAGGUUAAAGGUACUGGAAUGUUCUUUAACCGAAAGCUCCGGCGCCUUAGGAUGGAUCUGCGGCCGAUUAGGUUGUUGUUGGGGUAGUGGCCCAACAAGCCUGUAAUCGGUACGGGUUGUGGGAGCAAGAGCCCGGAGAUGGAAUCUGAGACACGAUUCCAGGCCCUACGGGGCGCAGCAGGCGCGAAAACUUUACAAUGCAGGAAACUGUGAUAAGGGAACCCCGAGUGCCCGUAUAUGCGGGCUGUCCGGAUGUUUAAAACGCAUCCGAAAGAAAAGGGGCCGGGCAAGACCGGUGCCAGCCGCCGCGGUAAUACCGGCGGCUCGAGUGGGUGGCCACUUUUAUUGGGCUUAAAGCGUUCGUAGCUUGAAUAAUAAGUCUCUUGGGAAAUCUGCAGGCUUAACCUGCAGGCGUUUAAGAGAAACUGUUGUUCUAGGAACCGGAAGAGGUGAGAGGUACUCCGGGGGUAGGAGUGAAAUCCUGUAAUCCCCGGGGGACCACCGAUGGCGAAGGCAUCUCACCAGGACGGCUUCGACAGUGAGGAACGAAAGCUGGGGGAGCGAACCGGAUUAGAUACCCGGGUAGUCCCAGCCGUAAACGAUGUGCGUUAGGUGUGCCGGUGACCACGAGUCACUGGGGUGCCGAAAGGGAAACCGUGAAACGUACCGCCUGGGAAGUACGGUCGCAAGGCUGAACUUAAAGGAAUUGGCGGGAGCAC